rnacentral:rRNA from 1 species
GACGAACGCUGGCGGCGUGCUUAACACAUGCAAGUCGAACGGAAAGGCCCUGCUUUUGUGGGGUGCUCGAGUGGCGAACGGGUGAGUAACACGUGAGUAACCUGCCCUUGACUUUGGGAUAACUUCAGGAAACUGGGGCUAAUACCGGAUAGGAGCUCCUGCUGCAUGGUGGGGGUUGGAAAAUUUCGGCGGUUGGGGAUGGACUCGCGGCUUAUCAGCUUGUUGGUGGGGUAGUGGCUUACCAAGGCUUUGACGGGUAGCCGGCCUGAGAGGGUGACCGGCCACAUUGGGACUAAGAUACGGCCCAGACUCCUACGGGAGGCAGCAGUGGGGAAUAUUACACAAUGGGCGGGAGCCUGAUGCGACAACGCCACGUGCGGGAUGACGGCCUUCGGGUUGAAAACCGCUUUCGCCUGUGACGAAGCGUGAGUGACGGUAAUGAGUAAAGAAGCACCGGCUAACUACGUG